rnacentral:rRNA from 1 species
GCUAACGCGGUGCCAGAGGGCUGUGUAGUGCAGUGGGGGCAAGGGUGAAUCGGAAUUACUGGGGGUAAAGGGCGCGUAGGCGGUCAGGUCAGUCGGAUGUGAAAUCCCCGGGCUCAACCUGGGAAUUGCAUUCGUGACUGCAUGGGUAGAGUGUGGAAGAGGGAAGCGGAAUUUCCGGUGUAGCGGUGAAAUGCGUAGAUAUCGGAAGGAACACCAGUGGCGAAGGCGGCUUCCUGGUCCAACACUGACGCUGAGGCGCGAAAGCGUGGGGAGCGAACAGGAUUAGAUACCCUGGUAGUC